GUGAACGCCCUCACAGGCUUAUACUAUUCCAAACCUCUGUGAACCGUGCCCUUCGGGGCUAUUUUACAAACAUGGUGUAAUGAACGUCAUACAUCAUAACAAAACA
rnacentral:misc_RNA from 1 species